GAUGAAGAACGCAGCGAAAUGCGAUAAGUAAUGCGAAUUGCAGAAUUUCCGUGAGUCAUCGAAUCUUUGAACGCACAUUGCGCCCACUGGUAUUCCGGUGGGCAUGCCUGUUCGAGCGUCAUUAUCCUCCCUCAAACCCCGGGUUUGGUGUUGGACCCAAGUUGUGUGAACAACUGGUCUCAAAGACAAUGACGGCGUCCGUGGGACCCUCGGUGCAACGAGCUUUUAGGAGCACGCGCCGAGUUGCAAGGACCUUCCGGGCCGGUCUCCUUUACUAUUUUACAAGGUUGACCUCGGAUCAGGUAGGAAUACCCGCUGAACUUAAGCAUAUCAUAAGCGGAGGA
rnacentral:misc_RNA from 1 species